rnacentral:rRNA from 1 species
AUUGAACGCUGGCGGAAUGCUUUACACAUGCAAGUCGAACGGUAGAGGGGGCAACCCCUCGAGAGUGGCGAACGGGUGAGUAAUAUAUCGGAACGUGCCCAGUCGUGGGGGAUAACGUAGCGAAAGUUACGCUAAUACCGCAUACGAUCUACGGAUGAAAGCGGGGGAUCGCAAGACCUCGCGCGAUUGGAGCGGCCGAUAUCAGAUUAGGUAGUUGGUGGGGUAAAGGCUCACCAAGCCAACGAUCUGUAGCUGGUCUGAGAGGACGACCAGCCACACUGGAACUGAGACACGGUCCGGACUCCUACGGGAGGCAGCAGUGGGGAAUUUUGGACAAUGGACGCAAGUCUGAUCCAGCCAUUCCGCGUGCAGGAUGAAGGCCCUCGGGUUGUAAACUGCUUUUGUACAGAACGAAAAAGGUUUGGCCUAAUAAGCUGAGCUCAUGACGGUACCGUAAGAAUAAGCACCGGCUAACUACGUG